CUUAACUGGGCGUUAAGUUGCAGGGUAUAGACCCGAAACCCGGUGAUCUAGCCAUGGGCAGGUUGAAGGUUGGGUAACACUAACUGGAGGACCGAACCGACUAAUGUUGAAAAAUUAGCGGAUGACUUGUGGCUGGGGGUGAAAGGCCAAUCAAACCGGGAGAUAGCUGGUUCUCCCCGAAAGCUAUUUAGGUAGCGCCUCGUGAAUUCAUCUCCGGGGGUAGAGCACUGUUUCGGCAAGGGGGUCAUCCCGACUUACCAACCCGAUGCAAACUGCGAAUACCGGAGAAUGUUAUCACGGGAGACACACGGCGGGUGCUAACGUCCGUCGUGAAGAGGGAAACAACCCAGACCGCCAGCUAAGGUCCCAAAGUCAUGGUUAAGUGGGAAACGAUGUGGGAAGGCCCAGACAGCCAGGAUGUUGGCUUAGAAGCAGCCAUCAUUUAAAGAAAGCGUAAUAGCUCACUGGUCGAGUCGGCCUGCGCGGAAGAUGUAACGGGGCUAAACCAUGCACCGAAGCUGCGGCAGCGACACUGUGUGUUGUUGGGUAGGGGAGCGU
rnacentral:rRNA from 1 species